rnacentral:rRNA from 1 species
GACGUAGGGCGCGAGCGUUGUCCGGAUUUAUUGGGCGUAAAGAGCGUGUAGGCGGUCAGGUAGGUCCGUUGUGAAAACUCGAGGCUCAACCUCGAGACGCCGAUGGAAACCAUCUGACUAGAGUCCGGAAGAGGAGAGUGGAAUUCCUGGUGUAGCGGUGAAAUGCGCAGAUAUCAGGAAGAACACCCGUGGCUAAGGCGGCUCUCUAGUACGGUACUGACGCUGAGACGCGAAAGCGUGGGGAGCGAACAGG